UGGGGCGGCCGGGUGGUCGCGGCAGCCGUCAGGGCUGUCGAGGAAAGUCCGCACUCCACAGGGCAUGGCGCCGGGUAACGCCCGGGAGGGGGUAACCCCUCGGAUAGGGCCACAGAAACAAACCGCCAGCGGCCUGCGCUGCGGCGCAGGUGCGGGCAAGGGUGAAAAGGUGGGGUAAGAGCCCACCGGCGCGUCGGGUAACCGGCGCGGCCAGGCAACCCCCGCCAGGAGCAAGGCCAAGCAGGGGCAAAGGCGGCCGCGUGCCGCCGGGGUGUGGCCCGCACCCCUCGAGCCCCGGGUAGGCCGCACCGAGCCGAGGCGGUAACGCCCCGGCCCAGACAGAUGACCACCCAGGCAGGUUCCCCUGCUGGACAGAAUGCGGCUUACAGGCCGCCCCAGGGC
rnacentral:RNase_P_RNA from 1 species